AUCGACAACCAUGUCACCCUGAACAAGCCCAAUCCUGUCUGAUAGCGGAAGCUAAGCAGGGUUGGGCCUGGUUAGUACUUGGAUGGGAGACCACCCAGAAAGACCAGAUGCUGUAGGCG
rnacentral:rRNA from 1 species